AAGCGGUGAAAUGCGGAGAGAUCUGGAGGAAUACCGGUGGCGAAGGCGGCCCCCUGGACGAAGACUGAAGCUCAGGUGCGAAAGCGUGGGGAGCAAACAGGGUUAGAUACCCUGGUAGUCCACGCCGUAAACGAUGUCGACUUGGAGGUUGUGCCCUUGAGGCGUGGCUUCCGGAGCUAACGCGUUAAGUCGACCGCCUGGGGAGGACGGCCGCAAGGGUAAAACUCAAAUGAAUUGACGGGGGCCCG
rnacentral:rRNA from 1 species